rnacentral:lncRNA from 10 species
CAGGUCUAAGCUACCUCUUUGCACCUGGGAACUCUGUGCCUUUUGAGAGUUGAAGGCUUAAAACAACAACAACCACCACAACAAAACUAUUCACCUUUUUAUCCAAUAGAAACUAAGGCUGUAAAGGAUGAUGCCCGGCAUCUGCUCAGCUUCUGAUGAGGCCUCAGGAAGCUUCCAAUCAUGGCAGAAGGCAAAGGGGAACCCAUGUAUCACAUAGCAAGAGCAGGAGCAAGAGAGGCGCGGGGAGAGGUUUUAAACCACGUCUUGCAAGAACUCACUAUUGCGAGGACAGUACCUUGGGGAUGGUGCUAAAUCAUUCAUGAGAAAUCUGCCCCCAUGAUCUAAUCACCUCCCACCAGGCCCCAACUCCGACACUGGAGAUUACAUUUCAACAUGAGAUUUGGGUGGGGACAAAUAUCCAGACUAUAUCGGGGCUGUACCAGCAAUUGACUCCUGACAUCUGUUCUGACUGGUCAGAGUCUGUUCUGAUAGGUUGGUGCCUCUACUGAUUAUUAAAUAUUUUAUGCUAUACCAAUUAUUAAAUAUUUUGAAAACCACCUACUGUUACAUGGGCUAUCAUAUUGCCUAGAAUAUUUGGUGAUGGUUUCAUAAAUGGAAAGCAAUUGAUUUCUGAUAGUCAUUCCACCGCAACCUAAGGUCACCAUAUCUAUUAAUAAUUCCUGUAGAUGGUAGUGGGAUGGAGGGUGAUUUAAUCAAAUUGAUGACAAUUUGAAGUUGCCAAACUGCUGAUUUUUGUUCUACCCUUCGUAGAAGACAAUUUGUAUUACUCUUUCCCUGCUGCCCCACUAGAAAUAUAUUAGCACCUAAAGCUUGUAUAUUCAUUUAUCACAAGCAUAAUAUGUUCUCCUUAAGCUGGAUAGAGAAUGUUUGAGUUAAAAAUGAACUGAGACCAAAGAGAAGUGACCUGUUAUUCAAGUCCUUAUACUCACAAAUGCUUGGGGCAAAGGGAAUGUUUGGAGAAAAGUGAUGAAUUCUCUAGACUUAAAAGCCAGUUGGAUAAAAAGCAGAACUGGCAGAGCCUAUGCCAAUGUGGGAUUAUGGAUGCAGGAAGAAGCAAGAGGAAGUAGCCCAGGAACUUACAGAAAUUAUAAUGAGGGCUCCGAAUUCUUAUGGGUUGUGGUACUGGCAUUCAGGCCAGGUUUAACUAGAUGUCCAAAGGCUGUGCAGGGGGAUAUCUGAUAUCUGGAAUAUUCUUAGGCUCAAUUCGUUUGUUUCUUCAUUUGUUUCUUGCAACCAAAAAUGAAUUAUGAAUAUCAGUCCAAAGUCAGAGACAGACUAAUUUGUUUCUCAUAUAAUGAACUAGAAGGUAUAUUUCUAAGACUAAGGAUUUGUGCUUGUGUUUGGAUUGGAGCUGAGCCUCUUGGGUGGGGAAGACAGGUCACAGGCCACCUUUCUCAAGAAAAGAGGCUGCAGGGGCAGAAAACUGGAAACAUGAAGCUGUAUAUGUAUAGAAUUCCAGGGCAAGUAAAAUGUAAAUGAGUGAUGAAACAACAUCACUCCUCACAACCCGGGUGAUUUGCAAAGUCACCAGGGAAUUUCAGGACACCUGGAUUACAAAACCAUAGCAAGACUUGGAGUCCGCAUUAGCAUAGUGAAGUGGAAGCUGCCAGCUCAGUUAAGGGCUAUGCCUAGAACUGGCAUAGCACCACUUCUCCCAUGUUCUCGUGGUCAAAGGAGUUACAAGGCCCACCCAGAUGAAAAGGGAUGGAGAAAUAGAUUCUACCUCUGGAUGGGGACUGGCAAAGUCACAUUGAAGAGCAUGUGGAAUGGGAAUUGUGUUGUAUGGUAGCCAUUUUGGAAAAUACAAUCUACUGCAACAGAUGAUUAAAAUACUUAAAAAGAAAUUUUAGUGUGUUAUCGUCUUUAAACAUUGUACAAAUUUAAGGUGUAUAAUGUGAUGUUUUGAUGUAUAUUUUAUUAAAGUGAUUACUAGUCAAGCAA